UGGGGAAUUUUCCGCAAUGGGCGCAAGCCUGACGGAGCAAUACCGCGUGAGGGAGGAAGGCUUUUGGGUUGUAAACCUCUUUUGUUAAGGAAGAAGAGAGUGACGGUACUUAACGAAUCAGCAUCGGCUAACUCCGUGCCAGCAGCCGCGGUAAUACGGAGGGAGCUAGCGUUGUUCGGAAUUACUGGGCGUAAAGCGCGCGUAGGCGGCUCAUCAAGUCAGGGGUGAAAUCCCGGGGCUCAACCCCGGAACUGCCCUUGAAACUGGCGAGCUAGAAUCCUGGAGAGGCGAGUGGAAUUCCGAGUGUAGAGGUGAAAUUCGUAGAUAUUCGGAAGAACACCAGUGGCGAAGGCGACUCGCUGGACAGGUAUUGACGCUGAGGUGCGAAAGCGUGGGGAGCAAACAGGAUUAGAUACCCGCGUAGUCC
rnacentral:rRNA from 1 species